AGAUUACUUUAACACCGUUCCAGUCUUGCUUUAAAAGUGAUUUGAAAAAGCGAUCGAGAAAGGGCUGGGAUUGGUAACAAGGAACCAGAAUGCUAAUUAGCUUGUUCAUUAA
rnacentral:sRNA from 1 species